UGUAUUUAAACAAAUGUUAUGGGUUUUAAGGAGUUUCCCAUCGUCUCCUUUUAGCUCUGGGUUUUUUCCGUCUUCCGAUCGACGUAGCUCCGCAUUUUUAUAGUCAUGCUGCUGACUAGCUUUAGACUUCAGAUUAUCUUCAUUAGUCCUUAGCUUUUGCAUUUCGUUGUCCAUACUGUCCACUUUUAUACAAAGUGUAGUUAUGGCUUUGAGUAUCUCUUCCAUUGUAUUUUCGUUCUCAGUCUGAGUAGCUUUGUCUUGAUAAGUAAUCUGCAAUAACAUUCUUAUCAGUUUUUAUUACUUCAAUUGUAAAUGUGAAAUUUAAUAUAUUUAAUA
rnacentral:lncRNA from 1 species